rnacentral:rRNA from 1 species
CGUAGGGUGCGAGCGUUAAUCGGAAUUACUGGGCGUAAAGCGUGCGCAGGCGGUUUUGUAAGACAGGCGUGAAAUCCCCGGGCUCAACCUGGGAACUGCGUUUGUGACUGCAAGGCUAGAGUAUGGCAGAGGGGGGUGGAAUUCCACGUGUAGCAGUGAAAUGCGUAGAGAUGUGGAGGAACACCGAUGGCGAAGGCAGCCCCCUGGGCCAAUACUGACGCUCAUGCACGAAUGCGUGGGUAGCAAACAGGAUUAGAUACCCUGGUAGUCCACGCCCUAAACGAUGUCAACUAGGUGUUGGGUGGGUAAAACCAUUUAGUACCGGAGCUAACGCGUGAAGUUGACCGCCUGGGGAGUACGGCCGCAAGGUUA